rnacentral:rRNA from 1 species
UAGGGAAUCUUCGGCAAUGGACGAAAGUCUGACCGAGCAACGCCGCGUGAGUGAAGAAGGUUUUCGGAUCGUAAAACUCUGUUGGUAGAGAAGAACGUUGGUGAGAGUGGAAAGCUCAUCAAGUGACGGUAACUACCCAGAAAGGGCGGCUAACUACGUCCCAC